GUUUGUAUAGUUUAUUAAAAACUUUACAUUUUCAUUGUAAGAAUGGGUAUAAUAAUACCUUGCAAAUA
rnacentral:tRNA from 1 species